rnacentral:lncRNA from 1 species
UUUUUCUCUUUGUAUUAAUGUAAGUACUAGCAAAAUACCCGCGCCACGCUGCAGAUAUAAACAUAUAUUUAUAAUAAAUUUUAAUUUUUAAUAUUUUUAUAUAAUUUUAUAAGUCUAUUUAUUAAUUAAAUAAAAGUUAUAUAAAAAUAAUUUAAUAGUUAAAUAUAUUUAAAUAAAAGUUAUUAAAAUUGGUAUAUGCGCAAAGUAAAUUUAUACAACAAUUUAUUUUAUAAAGAUUUAUAUGAAAAGGAUUUGAGAUAAAUCUAUCAAAAUAAUUUUUUAAAAAAAUCAAUAAAUAGAAGGAAAAUAAAAUUAUAAAAGAUAUUGUUUAAUAAAAUUAAUAAUAAAAAGAUAAAAAUGAAACCACGUAGCACCAAAUUGAUACACUUUAAACCACAGAGCACUCGAGUGAGAAAGUGCAAAACCAAACCACAA